AUGGCUCAGCGCACGCGACCCGCCAAGGUUCAAGCCGCCCCGAAGCAUGUCUUUGUUGGAUUUACUCAAGGAGUAGAUCUGGAAGGAGGAUCUGAGUUCGGUGGUGAGACAGCCGUCUAUUCAGUCGAUGAGUCCUCAAUCGAUCAGACCAACUCCAUGUAUCAAGUUCAGGAUGGUGGGCUUGGGGGCUGUUCCGAUGGUGACAGUAUUCCAGACCCCUAUGAGCCGCCAAACCGGGUUACAAUCUUCAUGGCCGGUACGCAGCCAGGGAAGAAUUCUUCAACUAUGGCAGCAAUGAUCUCCGGUUUAGCGACGGCAACGACAGCUGGGGCAGGAGGCCCUGUGCGCUCACCGUCUCAAGUUUUAUCUGAACUGUUGGAGGCUUUGGCUACGUUGUUGACGGUGGAGGUGACCCCGGUGAACCAAACGCAGCAUAAUGUAGACGUUGCGAAGUUACGUGUUGAGAUAGCUCAAGCAAAGGAGGAUCUAAACGCUGAGAACACCCGGAUGGCGACAGAGCGAGCAGACAAUUUUCAACACCCGGAUGGAGAGGGAGGCAGAACGGCUUUAAGCAGAAAAUUUUCACUUGAGCUUGGACCGGGACGCAUCAGACAUUGUCUUUAA
rnacentral:rRNA from 1 species